rnacentral:rRNA from 1 species
AACCCCUGUGAACAUACCUUACUGUUGCCUCGGCGGAUCAGCCCGCUCCCGGUAAAACGGGACGGCCCGCCAGAGGACCCCUAAACUCUGUUUCUAUAUGUAACUUCUGAGUAAAACCAUAAAUAAAUCAAAACUUUCAACAACGGAUCUCUUGGUUCUGGCAUCGAUGAAGAACGCAGCAAAAUGCGAUAAGUAAUGUGAAUUGCAGAAUUCAGUGAAUCAUCGAAUCUUUGAACGCACAUUGCGCCCGCCAGUAUUCUGGCGGGCAUGCCUGUUCGAGCGUCAUUUCAACCCUCAAGCCCUCGGGUUUGGUGUUGGGGAUCGGCGAGCCUUUCUGGCAAGCCGGCCCCGAAAUCUAGUGGCGGUCUCGCUGCAGCCUCCAUUGCGUAGUAGUAAAACCCUCGCAACUGGAACGCGGCGCGGCCAAGCCGUUAAACCCCCAACUUCUGAAUGUUGACCUCGGAUCAGGUAGGAAUACCCGCUGAACUUAAGCAUAUCAAUAAGCGGAGGAAA